GCCCAGAUCCCUGGACUGUGACCCACAAGCCUCUUCAUCACUUAGAUACGAAGCUCGCUUCAGUCCAAGCGUCUCUGGGCUCACAGAGGCUGCAGUGCCAUGGACACAGCACAGACACUACCCUGGAGAGGGAGCAGCAUCUAGCAUGUGAGAGGCGCUGUGCUGGAGAAAAGACAUGAUUGGAGGGAGACAGAAUCCAUAUCCCAGUAGAGCUGCAGUCCUACAGUGGGAGGCCACGAUGGUCUCAGAAGACACGGAAGAGUCUCUCAGAGGCUGAAGCUGAACUUUGACAGACUGGUUUGUAUCAAAGCAAGAAGACGCCCUUGACUUGCGGCUUCAUGUAGUGGCGAGCGAUCUGCCCAGGAACCUGUCAGAAGAGGAAGAAAUAAAAACCUGUGAGUUGAAGUAAGCCCUGAUAGGUACAGUCAGUCCCCGUCACAGACACACUUUCCUGGCUCGCAGUUCAGCAAGGUGACCAAGAUACUUACACAUAAACCAGGAACUCCGAUUCUUGUCUCAAGGAUCCAGACCGGCAGUGUCCGAGUCCGGAGGGCCCGAACGUGACCCAUCCCGGACCUACUCUGCCUUCUGAAUCAUCCUCCAAAGAAGAGGAUGAGUAAGGUGAUUGGAUCUGCCACACACACAACUCUUUUUCAUGGUUUUUCAGACAGAACCCAGAAGAACUAUUUUUGUGCACUUUGAUCAGGGGCAGCAGCUGGAACCCUGCACUCCCCCCACCCCGCAGUUCCCCCUGCCCUCUGUGCCCCCAGCCGCCCUGCCCUUACGGUGGCCCUGAGGUGUAAGAGGGCUGCAACACAUUGCCAAGGAGGGUACUCGUAAGGGGAGAGUGACGGUCUACACAAGCCACACAAGAAAACACUGCUGAGAGAAGGCUGGAAAGAAUGAAUGAUUUGUUCUUUAUGCAGCUGGUAAAGAAGAAAUGACAGAAGUUCUCCACAGCCUGUCCAUGAACCGUUCCGAGCCUCGGUUUUCCCUUACAGUUACAGUUUGGCUUCAUUUUGUCAUGGGAACUGCCUCCUGGCUUGGCCUGCUCAGGCUUUCUCCGGGGAGUCCUUUGGGGAGCUCCCCCAGCUGGCCUCAGUCUGUAAUACCACCAAAGGCAGAAGCGGGCUUCGGAAGUAUUUUGCAAAGACAAAGACGAAUAUGCAAGGCAUUGCAGUCCAUGAAACCAAGAUGUGGACACUUACAAGAAGGUGACAUCGCCUCUGGAGCCAGACUCUCUGGACGUGAAUCCUGGCUUGCUAGUUCCAUGACUGCCAGAAAGUUAACUGUUCUUUCUGUUGUCCCAUUUCUCAUUUGUAAAAUGUGAAUACUGACAAAUUCUGCAAUGGGAUAUCAGGAUUAUUAAAUAAGUUAAUAUUUAAAAAUAUUUGGAACAGUGUCUAGCAUAUACUAAGUGCUUUAUAAGAAUCUGUUAAAUAAAUUUUACAGUAACAAAAAAUGGCAACUCAAAUGAUGAACACUAACUUGGAAGAUGUAGCUUGGUGUGAUUCAGAAUCUCCAACAACAAAGACAUGCCUUAAAUUUAAAUAUGAAUGCCCUCUCAUUUCCGCACAAGAAAUUAAAAUUCAAGGGAUGAAUCCUGAAACUGUUCAUAAUGGGUAUAUUCGUAUGAACCCAAACUGGAAAUAAUCCAAAUGUCCAUCAAUAGGAAAUGGCUAAGCUGUGGAAAUGGGUAAUACAGUUGAACAAUAAAGGGACUAAGGUACUGAUAAGUGCAAAACCUAGAAGAAUCUCACAAAUAUAUGUUGAGCAAAAGAGUCCCUGUUACAUGGUUUCUUUUAUAUGAGGUUAAAGAUCAACAAUACAAAUAUAUAGUGAUAUAGUUAAAAGACCGAUUUCUUGGGUUGAGGUGGGGCAGGAGGGUUGACUGGAAAGGAUGAGAUAACUUUCUAGGAAGAUGGGAAUAUUACUUUUCUUUAUUUGAGUGGUGGUAACAUGGAAUAUAUAUUUGGGUGAAAAAACCUCAUCAAAUGUAUAUCUAAGCUCUGUGCAUUUUACUCUGUAAAUUAUAUUGCAUAUGCUCAGGAACAGUCAGGGCAGAGUCCUGAACUUUCAGAACAUAUCUGUGUGACCCCCACUGUGUUCAGUCUGAUCAUCACCCAGGAAGCAGAGGCGAGGUGAUGCUCCUGUUCUGGAGAAAGCCACAUUUAGUGACCAGUCUGCCUUACCCAAGUGUGGGGAUCAGCAGGAAGGGAGCGAGGGAAAGGGAGAAUGCUUGUUCAGUUCAUUUCUGAGGAAGCUGUUCCACUGCCCAACAGUGGAAGCACAGAAGGCUCGCCCAAUACCCUGCUUGCCCAUCUACUGUUGAGUAGCUUUUGUGAUAAAAAAGCUUACCACUGAGCACCUGAAAACUGUCCAGAAAGCUGAGCACAUGGCACAGAUUAGAUGCAAGAGCCACAGUGCUCAGCUGAUUGGAGAAAAGCAGAAAACAUGACCAACAGAAAAUAAUGUUGAAGCAGGGAGGCACCACUGACAGCUCCAGGAGAGGGCGGGGCGGGCCGCAGGCCGCGCAGCCUCCCCCACCGGACACACAUGACGCACUUCUGACUGAGUCACAUGUCUGAUGCAGUGUCAGCCUCUGCAUCAAAAUCAGCCCUUAGCUUUUGCCGCUCUACUAUGGAGGACGUGGCCGCGUUCACUGCGAGGGUGGAUCUAGGCAGCGAUGUUCGCAGCCCAUCAGAACGAGCCCUGACCGUGGAUAUCUAUGUGAGUGAGCCUGAUGUCAUUUUGUAGCACGAUUUGUUUCCAAAGUUUGUGGCCUCAAAGAGCAGUGCCUUAAAAUCGCUAGUUUGAAGUUUUCCAAGUGGUGGACCAAACAGCUAGGCUCUUUGGCAAUAGCCCCAGAAUCAAUGAGAAUCUAACCAGGCUCAUCAAAGGGGGGUAUUGCCAGAACUCAGGAGUAGAAUUGAAUCCUAUCCACUGAGAGGAGAGGCCACGUCUGUUCUCAGGUCUCCCGUGUGGACCCCGAGGCUGAACAGCCGCAGCAGCCCAACGGGCACCAUCUGGUUUCAGCUCAAACUAUAUGCAGACCGGGCCCAGGCAUGUAGUUUAUUGUGAAAACAAACUGCAGCUAUAAAAACAUAUGACUCACAAACAUAGUGUUGAAGAAAUGACUUCCUACACCCCCCAAAAAUUGCUGUAUGAUUUUGUUUAUAGAAAGUUCAUUUAAGGGCAAACUUCAACCAUUGAUGCCACUUCCAGACGGCAUCCACAACGUGAACUUUAGAAGAAACUUCUCAGCAGGCACUUGAUUAAUUCGGGCACUGUGACUUUACUCUGGAAGGAAAAGCCACCCAUACAUCCUCCCUCCUCCCUCAGAGUGACAUUUCUGACACUGGUCUUUUUCAGUGAUCAGAAAUCUGCAAUGGAGACAGUUCCGGUCACUAGGCCCUAUUUGGGGUACUUCUCUUCCCGUCCAGUGAAAUAUCAUAAUUGCCGUUUCCCUUAGAGCUUCUAUUUCCAGCAAUGGGGCUUUGCAUGAGCUCUGUAUGGUGACAGGGCUUCCACGGAAUCUCGUAAGCAGACAUUUUUAGUUUUGUGCCACAGAGGCUACUGCUACCGUCUGUUCUUGUGGAAUUGCUUAGGUUUAAGCCUUUAUUAGGAGCAGUCACUCAUCUGUGGACAGAAUAGAUAGACCAUAAGCUGCAUGUACCCAUUAAAGUCAACAUCCACAGGGCCAACUUAACUAAGGUGAGAGUAAUAAAAGGUGACUGCACCAGUAAAUGUCUGAGCAAAAGCUUUGACUAACCAAGCAGGGCAGAAUUGAUGCCUCUUUUGGGCCCUAGGCACUAUGCCUUCAGAAACUUCUUAAUAUAAUGAAGUUAAAGUUCUUAAUGAAAUUUUAAAAAGUUAUUUUAAAAUAUUGAAAAUUAUACUUCCUGACUGCAUUGGUAUAAAGACAAACCCAAGCUGGAUUAUAUCUAUUUCUUUUCUUCAGAUUUUUAAAGAAAUGAAAACAUUGUCAGGGGCUCCUAAAAGCAUGUGGCUUUCGGUAUUAGGCCUUCUGUGUCCACACAGUAAGUUGGCCUGCCAGUGGGUCAACAUGCCCUGCCCUCACAGGAAAAUCGAAACUCCAACCCCAGGCCUUGAAGACUCCGUGUUGGGUUUUGUUACUUAUUUCUCAGGGAUCUUGGCCAAUGUAACAAAAUGGUGAAGUCUUGAGGGAGUCCAAUAAAUAACACCUUUUAUCCCUCCCAAAGGCAGAAGACAACAGGAAGGGAGAUGGGGGUCAAAGUACCACCUUUAUUACCAAUCAACGCGAUGUUGAAGGCUGCCGUCCAUUUGACUCUUAUAUUUACUGUAAGAAUUAGGAAAAUGUACCCACGCAUUUGCUGGCAAUCUUGGACUGAAGCCGAGCGCUCCACAAGGCAGGUAAGAACUGGCUUCCGAAGUAACAGCAGCCACUGCCUCUCCUGGUAGGAAGGCGGCUCCUGAGAUUCUUCCCAGAUUCUUCUCCCCACGCUCGACACAGAUUGGCCCCUUAGUGCAGGGGUGGGGGGGAGUGGAAAUCAUAAGGAACUGCUGAGAGAGAUCAACCAAGUUCAGAGGACGUGCUUCCCUCCAAAGCGCCCAUGUUAAAUGUCAAGAAUAUUUAGGAGCUUCCCAAGGAUUAGCAGGAUAGGAGAGGAAUUACGUUCAAUAUUAUUUUUACUUUUAAGCAUACUCUGCAGGGAGGAGAAUGAAGGAAUGAAACUAAAGCUUCACAUCACUCAAUAAACCAAUCAUACUUAUUAAAUGGUUAGGCCUACCCCUUUGAAAUAAAGGUAGUUAAAAAUAUUUGAGGCCUUUGUUUUUCAAUACACGUUAUAGAAAAACAGGCAUUGAUUCCUGGUGGAGUUUAAUAAACAAUUACAAUACAUAUGAAAGUAAGAACGAGUUUCCUUGCUCUCAAGUUCCUGUUGCCAAAUUGAGUAGGACUAAAGGUGAAAAGCAAACAAAAGAAAAGUAUUUGACAAAAUUGCCUGUUAUUGCUAUAGAAAGGUUCUGGUCUAACUUCAUCAAAUCUGUGUUAUGUCCAUUGCUCAAAAAAAUAUGCAUCAAGGGCCUUCUAUAUGUAAAUUGGGAAUACAGUGCAGCUUUGCCCUCACGGAACUACUGCCACACCUUACAGCAAAAGUGGCUCAACAGGCUCAAACACCGAAAGGAAAUUAUGCCCAGAUUUUGACCCAUAGUUUCCCAAGGACAAACAAAAGUAAAUAUUAUUUGAAGAAUGUCAAGGAGAUAAAAAGUAGCCUUUGAAUUCUCGGUACUACUAUGACUACUAAAAAAGGUAUUGUUCAGUCAUGAAUCAUAAAUAUUAUCAGUUGCCCACCUAUUUUUCUCUUUCACAUCUAUGUGUAGAUAAAAAAAUAUAUCCUUAUAAAUUGACAGCCAAGAAUUACCAUAAUCAGGUCACAAACACAGAACAGGUUUAUUUAAUAGUAGCUUAAUUGAACUUGUACUUAAUUAAUAAAUGCCAACAAUGUUUCACUUUAUAAAUUUUUUUAUAUAUAAAGUCUGGAGGCUUUUGUUUCCUCAGUUUUGUAUCAUGAUAAUCCACUUUAUCAGUUAAUUUCUUGCCCAGCCAAGGUGCAAGAUUUAGUCUUGGUGGACUGUUGGUUUGUUUCAUGAAGAAACAUCUGGUGGUUUGCUAAUCAGAUUUAUUUUAUGGGCUUUGUAUAACUGUGUAAGGUGCCCUUUUAAGUUAUUCAUCAUUAAGAUUUUCUUUAACAGGUACCCUUUCCAGUAACCACAUACCUAUAUAUCAAGCUUUGUUUUUAAUCCAUUUCUUUUGUCUUUUGCAACUUUGUCCCUGAAUAACUCAUUGGUAGGGAUAACUCAACUGUUAAUUUACUUUUGUUAUAAUUAAUGGCUACAAUAUUGUGGCUUUUCUAGUAAGAAGUUCUUAUAAUAAUUAUUAUACUUUCAAUAACCACCUUAAAGUUCCUUUGAUACAUUAGUGCUAAUAAUCGCUACAGUGUCCCUGAAAUACAUGUCAUACAACGGUACACAUGGCAACACACCCACAGUUGGUUGGUGAUUGGAAAAGAGUCUUGCCACAAAUUCUUUACAUUCAAUAAAAGGUAGAGAGGCAUCUAAAGAAAUAAUGUCACAAAGUAUCUUUUGGCCACCCAAAUGCUAAAAAUAAUUGUUUGUUACAAUACAGCUUUGAGAUAAAAUAGGGAUUCUUGGAGUCAUUGUAAAUGUAUUUCAAAAGUAGGUUUUGUUUUUUCCGUGCUGGAGUGAUUCUCAAGUAACAGUGGGUUUUCUUAAGUUCCUUAUUUGCUUCCAUACACACUGUAGCCUCAGUGACGGGUCACGCCAGGUGGCCUUGCUUGUGCCUCACAACGGCUUCUUACCAAUAACAGGGGUCACACAGAACGUGGCCUGCUCAGAAAAAAUAUAUCAUCACAAAAGCUAAAACCUGUGUUAAUUGCUGUAAACAGAUCAGAUUCCACCGACCGUUUCUUUUGGCUGUUGUCUUCUCACCCCCUGGGAAGACGAAGGCCAAUUAGGAACCCACACUGUCCUCCUCUGUCCCCUUUGGACGGGGCAGGAACGUGGGACUUGGUGGGACCCACGACAUGUGAGCUCGUUCCCUCCUUCCUGCCUCCGGAAGUAGCGAACGGAGGGAAAUCGCGCCUCCCUUGGCCUGGGAACCUGAACCAAGACAGCACAGAAUGGGCCUCCCGCUUCCCCCAGCAGGAUCUGCAGAAUGAACAGCAAGAAACCUCUGAGCUCUGAAGUCACUGAGGCUUUAAAAUUGUUAGCACAGCAUAACCGUAGCCUGUCCGGCUGCUACACACGAUUUGCUCAGUCUGGGCCAGGCGAUGGGGACGCUCCCUUAACGUGAAACGCUACAGAUUCACGUUCGUUCACCCAGAAGGAUGCUGGUUUCCCCGGACGGCACAGAAGGCCGAGGGGCCCGUGCGAGUGGGGCUAACCGCCCCGCACCCCUCGGGGCGAGGCUGUCCUCCUCCUGCGGGGCUGCCCUUGGCGCCCCUGUAAAACCCCCUGCGGCCCAGGCUCUGUUGAGGACCCAGCCUACAGCCUCACUGUGAGCACGUGGGAUUUGAUUCCUAAUUAAAUAGCAGGAGAUUGAAAGGCAUUAAUAAGCGGGGAAGAUCCUGUUAGCUGGUGGU